rnacentral:rRNA from 1 species
AGGACGAACGCUGGCGGCGUGCUUAACACAUGCAAGUCGAGCGCUGUCCAUUCGGUGGCAACACUGAUGAAGGCGGAGUGGCGAACGGGUGAGUAGCACGUGAGCAACCUGCCCCGAAGACCGGGACAACACCGGGAAACCGGUGCUAAUACCGGAUAUCCCCACCAGAUCGCAUGGUCAGGUGAGGAAAUGGAUUCCGCUUCGGGAGGGGCUCGCGGCCUAUCAGCUAGUUGGUGAGGUAACGGCUCACCAAGGCUUCGACGGGUAGCUGGUCUGAGAGGACGAUCAGCCACACUGGGACUGAGACACGGCCCAGACUCCUACGGGAGGCAGCAGUGGGGAAUCUUGCACAAUGGGCGAAAGCCUGAUGCAGCAACGCCGCGUGAGGGACGAAGGCUUUCUGAGUUGUAAACCUCUUUCAGCAGGGACGAUUGUGACGGUACCUGCAGAAGAAGCCCCGGCCAACUACGUGCCAGCAGCCGCGGUAAUACGUAGGGGGCAAGCGUUGUCCGGAUUUAUUGGGCGUAAAGAGCUCGUAGGCGGCUUGGCAAGUCGGAUGUGAAACCUCCAGGCUCAACCUGGAGUCGCCAUUCGAUACUGCCAUGGCUAGAGUUUGGUAGGGGACCACGGAAUUCCUGGUGUAGCGGUGAAAUGCGCAGAUAUCAGGAGGAACACCAGCGGCGAAGGCGGUGGUCUGGGCCAAUACUGACGCUGAGGAGCGGAAGCGUGGGGAGCGAACAGGAUUAGAUACCCUGGUAGUCCACGCCGUAAACGUUGGGCACUAGGUGUGGGGACCUAUCGACGGUUUCUGUGCCGCAGCUAACGCAUUAAGUGCCCCGCCUGGGGAGUACGGCCGCAAGGCUAAA